UACGUAGGAGACGAGCGUUGUCCGGAAUUACUGGGCGUAAAGCGCGUGUAGGCGGAUGAGCAAGUCUGCUGUGAAAGCUCCUGGCUUAACCGGGAGUGGUCGGUGGAAACUGCUCGUCUGGAGGACGGUAGAGGUAGGUAGAAUUCCUGGUGUAGCAGUGAAAUGCGUAGAUAUCAGGAGGAACACCGAUGGCGAAGGCAGGUCUCUGGGCUGACACUGACGCUCAUGCACGAAAGCGUGGGGAGCAAACAGG
rnacentral:rRNA from 1 species